rnacentral:lncRNA from 1 species
AAAUUUGUAUGCUUAUUUCAAUAAGAAAAAACACUCAAAAUCCCAUGUGAAACUUAGUAAAGGAAUACCUCUAGUAGCCAAUGCUAUAGUUCGCCUGAGUACAAUGCUUUCGAGCAAGUAACUCGUACACUUUCAGAUAAUUUUCCGGGGUACUUGGAAAAAAUACUAUAAGGGCUAACCUGAAAUUUUGUUUGUUCUUCUUGUUCCUCUUGUAUUUUCUAUCACAGGUAAUGGCUGAUCCUUAGUAUCAGGCUGAAUGACUGUUUUUUGGCCUUUCUUUCUAGGGUCAAGUUUUGCAGCAGUUGGUUUGACCUGUAAGAAUUCGAACUUGUCAUUAGCAACCAGAGGAAAUUUUUGUUACUUAAGCAUAGGGUACCAUUUCUUCUGCUUUUGUUCAUUUCAAUCUUAGGGAAGAAGACCCUCAAACAAUCUUUAAUGUACCUAAUAUCUAAAUGUGGACAUGAAAAGGUGUGCGGCAGGAAAGCAUACCAUUGUGUUCCCAAUCUCUCGUAAUGGCUGCUUUCUAGAUCCGCAGUCUUCAUUUGUAUCAGGAAUGUUUUUAACAGUUUUAUUUUGAAUCAGGAUAGUAUCAUGAAUCGUGCCUUUCAGUUCUUCAACAAUAUCUUCGGGCAUCUUUGGUUGUGGUAUGUCGUCCAAUUUGAAAGGAACUUUUUUAUUAUUCGUGCACUUGGCCAAUGCGCAGCCACAAGACGCCCCGCAG